UAACAAUGGGAAACCGUUGCUAAUACCGAAUAUGAAUUCGAAGGGCGAUACCUUUGGAAUUUGAAAGGGGCUUUCAAGCCUCGCUAUUAGAUGGACCUGCGGCGCAUUAGCUAGUUGGUGAGAUAACAGCUCACCAAGGCGAGGAUGCGUAGCCGACCUGAGAGGGUGAUCGGCCACAAUGGGACUGAGACACGGCCCAUACUCCUACGGGAGGCAGCAGUAGGGAGUUUUCGGCAAUGGGGGGAACCCUGACCGAGCAAUGCCGCGUGAGUUUAAUGAAGGUCUUAUGGAUCGUAAGGCUCUGUUGUAGGGGAUGAAACGUCUAGGGAGGAAAUGUCCUAGACUUGACAGUACCUUACCAGAAAGCCACGGCUAACUACGUGCCAGCCGCAGC
rnacentral:rRNA from 1 species